GCCAGUAAAGGGGACACUUUGCUAGCGUGGGCCCAGUUUUCUUCUCUGGCUGCCUGUAUCCAGUAAUGGAGAUGCCAGUGUACUAACAAGAGGACCAGUUCCACAUCAAUAGAUUUUCAGCUCCAGGGAGAAGUAUUAGCAAAGAAAGAUGUGUCAAAAUAAGGAAAACACUAAAAAAGGAAGUAAUUUGGCAGUAUCAUCCCAGCAAAACACAAGGUAAGCUUUGGCAGGGUGGCAGCAGAUGAGCCGCAAAGCAUUGUCAAUGUUAUAGUUUAAGUCAUGGGUGAAAUUUCAUGCCUCAGAGUAAAGUCAGAAAUGAGAAACUCUGGGCCUUUCAACAUGGGAAAGCUGAAUCUAUCAAAAUAGUUUCACUUUGCAUCUACGGACUAUGAAAAGAUGUUCUUCCCUUUUUUUUCUCUGUUCCUUCUCUUAGUGUUUCAUCUCACCCUUGCCCUUUGUUGCGCAGGUCCCUUUGCUUAGGAGGCACUGGGUUUUCCAAGGAAAAGGUGGUGUUUCACUACUUCCAUCCACCAGGAAGUCUCCCUCUGGAGAGACUGGAGAAGCCGGUGGCCACCUUCCCCUGUGGCUAGCUAGCAGGGAGCUGAGAGCCCUGGGGGUGCUCACCAAGAAGGCAAGAGGAUGGGACUGAGCACAGGGAAGAGAAGAAUGAGAAAGGUAAAAGGGACGGCGAGAAAGGGCAUGGGGCUCACCACACACCCGUGCUAGUCUACAUAAAGGGUGACGGGCUGUUCCUGGCAGCAGUGCCACAGCCAGCAGAGCUGGUAGCUUGUUUCAUGGAAAACACCAAUCCUGCUGCGCCGUACUGACAUACUGCAGGCCAGCCACAGAAAGGGACACAUCUCUCUGGCCUGUGUGCUUUUCAAAACCCAGGAGCUUGUCCAGGCAGCCUGUGAGAACAGCUCAGGCACUCAGGGUUUGAGAAAAGCCAGAACUGAGGCUGAGUCAGGCCCCUAUGGAUGUGUGUAAUGACAUGGUCUUUACGGGAUGCGUGUUACCUUACCCUAUGGCCCUUGGCUUUGGAAACCGAAGGAGGCUCUAAUCUGUAAACCCUACACCUUGGUGGUGGUCUUUGUUGAAAGGAGUGGGGUAGGUGGAGGGUCCGUCUUGGCCAGGGAGCUGGGUACUACCUGGGGGAAGCACGUUUCCAAGGAGUUGUUCAUAGCACGGAGCAUGUCACUUAAUCCAAGUUUUCACAGGCUGUGAAGUACGGUACUCUGUGGUUUUAGGUGCUUGAUUUGAAGGCGCUGAGGAUUCCCAGUGACCCCUGAAAUUAGGAUGAGCUAUGCUACAGUCAAGUGACGCUUCACUUGGGAUAAACUGCCCUGAAAAGUCUGUGCGCCCAAAGAGAAUAUUUGACUUGCAACUCCUGUAUUUUGUUUCAUUUUCUGCCUGCAUAGGGAUACCACCUUCCUCUUCUGCGUGGAUGUUGAGUGAUACAGGUGAAGCCUUCAGUCAUCCUCCUGAUGAACCCACCAAAAGCAAUGAGAUGCAACCGGCCCCAACUGGAGAGCAGGGCAGGAGCACAAAGGCCAGAGUCAUGUGGCCAGAAAUGGAGGUGGGAGAGGUGGGAGGAGAAGGAAGGCAUCCCUGCCUGUUCCCACACAGGGUGAGUUUGCACAGCCUGAAGUUUGCAGAGCUGAAAGGCCCGAAGCAGCUGAGCCCGUGUUGGCUGGAGGUGGAAAGCAUUAUCAAAUCUUCCCCGUGCCACGUUUUCCUGCGCAGAGUGCCGUUCAACUUGUGCCAAGCUGCAAGCUGUCACGGUGGAGAAGGCAUGAAAAUGAAAUUUGCUGAGAAAAAGAAUCUCCAAAUCCUGGAUUGCUGAAGUGGGUCAUCUUAAAAUUUGUAAGUAUAACCAGACAGAAGAUGUACAUGGAGGGGAGAUGCUAC